UUCAAACUGCCCAGCUUCACAUGCACACGCGCACAUGAACACAAAUCCUGUGACCACUGGUACCUAAAGGCGGAGAAGCACCUGAACGCUGAGGAUAAAUCAGGGGAAGGAGAUUCCACUAUUUUAUUUUCAUCUUCUUCAUCAUCAUCAUAUUCAUCACCUUCAGAGCCAUGUUCCUGUCAUUUUGGCUAUGCUCAUUGGCUCUUCUGGCGCAGUCUUUGUCAUCAGUAUCCUCAGAAGCAACUACACAGAGCGACAACAUGACCACCGCCGUGUCCUCCAAAACUACUCCAACGACAACUCAUGCUACCGAAACGGCUUGGGCUAACCUAACGGCUGGGGCUAACCUAACGGCUGGGGCUAACCAAACGGCUGGGGCUACCGAAACGGCUGGGGCUAACCAAACAGCUGGGGCUAGCCAAACGGCUGGGCCAACCCAAAUGACUUCUGCGGCAACCCAAAUGACAUCUGCAGUUGCCCUUACCACGUUUGGGGCAAGCAGAACGACGACAGUAGCAGCCAAUCCAGGCUCUGUGGCCACCGGAAUGACGACAACUAACGGACACAGCCGGCUCAUCGGCUCGCUGAUCCUGUUCCUGGGUUCAGUUUCUUUGGCAGUGAUUGACCACUAGAGAUCGCUGUUUCUUCAUCCGCUUUGGCAGCACGUCUUUAUUGCCUUUUGUAGCCAAUGAAAAGUGUCGGACCACUUCGACUCUUGAGGAUUAAGGGGGUAAAAAAGAAAAAUCGAAGAACAAACUCAUGAUUAGGGAUGUUGUACAGUUUAAGGUACUAAAGCUGACCAAAGGGAAUGCAAAUUAAGAUGAGCAUAUGUACUCGACUAUUUAAACUUGGCCACUUAGUGCUUUCCUAUUGAAUGAAUUAAGCUGUUAAAUUCCACCUCUUUACUAAGCUUUAGUGUGUGUUACCUGUAGUGUAUAGAAAAUAAAGUGUAACAUGUUGGAUGGAAAAUAAAUGAUUUGAGGAAAUAGA